GACUGAAGGAGGACAGGACUGUAGCAGAGAGGAGAUCAUAAACUUCUGCAAGGGACAGAUUUCUCACUUCAAGAUCCCCCUCUAUGUGGUGUUUGUGGACAGCUAUCCACUGACUGCCUCUGGAAAGGUCCAGAAGAUCAAACUGAGG